GGGACACAUUGGUAAGGUCUCUUUAGUCGUGCCACCACACUGACCUUACUUGAAUGGUAUGUAGCAAGCUCCUCUGGUCUUUCUUUGAUAUUAAGCCACGAAGCUUGCAGCUUGAUGUCGGUGUCUGAUGGAAGACAUAAAGAGUCGGGGUUUCCAUAGGUACCUUGGUUGGACUGAAGAUGAUUUAACAACUAUAAUUGCACUCAAAUAGCUCAGUUCCUUCCUCUGAGGCAAGUUCUAGACCCUACUACUUUCUGCAAAGCCAAGUUGCUCAGAAAGUGCCUGUAAUCGGUGAUGAGCAGCCUCCAGUGGGCUCUGGAAGAAAGCAAAAUUUAGCUUCUGAAGACUUCAAAUUAAUCAAGACUUCAGCCCACCAUCGAUCAGAGGGACUUGCUGUGUGUGUAUGUUUCUCCCAGCACCCAGCACAGAGGCACAAAGGCACAAAAGCACAGAGGCCCCACAGUGCUUAAUGAGGUUUCUGAAAGAAAUGGCAAUGCAAUU
rnacentral:lncRNA from 1 species